GGUCCUGUGGCUUAGUUGGUAAAGCGUGAGACUAAUAAAUUAAGAAGAGCGGUCAGCCACUAGUGGCUUAAUAUGUUGGCAACCUCAAGAUCCUGGGUUCGAGCCCCAGCGGGACCA